UACGGAGGAUCCAAGCGUUAUCCGGAUUCAUUGGGUUUAAAGGGUGCGUAGGCGGGCUAUUAAGUCAGUGGUGAAAUCCUGCAGCUUAACUGCAGAACUGCCGUUGAUACUGAUAGUCUUGAGUUUGGUUAAGGUAGGCGGAAUGUGUAAUGUAGCGGUGAAAUGCUUAGAUAUUAGGAGGAACACCGGUGGCGAAGGCGGCUUACUGGACUGUAACUGACGCUGAGUCACGAAAGCGUGGGUAGCAAACAGGAUUAGAUACCCCUGUAGU
rnacentral:rRNA from 1 species